rnacentral:rRNA from 1 species
UACGGAGGGGGCUAGCGUUGUUCGGAAUUACUGGGCGUAAAGCGCACGUAGGCGGCUUUGCAAGUCAGAGGUGAAAGCCCGGGGCUCAACCCUGGAAUUGCCUUUAAGACUGCAUCGCUAGAAUUGUGGAGAGGUAAGUGGAAUUCCGAGUGUAGAGGUGAAAUUCGUAGAUAUUCGGAAGAACACCAGUGGCGAAGGCGACUUACUGGACACAUAUUGACGCUGAGGUGCGAAAGCGUGGGGAGCAAACAGG